rnacentral:misc_RNA from 1 species
UACGUAGGUGGCAAGCGUUAUCCGGAAUUAUUGGGCGUAAAGCGCGCGUAGGCGGUAAGACAUGUCUGAUGUGAAAUCCCCCGGCUCAACCGGGGAGGGUCAUUGGAAACUGUUUUACUUGAGUGCAGAAGAGGAGAGUGGAAUUCCAUGUGUAGCGGUGAAAUGCGCAGAGAUAUGGAGGAACACCAGUGGCGAAGGCGGCUCUCUGGUCUGUAACUGACGCUGAUGUGCGAAAGCGUGGGGAUCAAACAGG